rnacentral:rRNA from 1 species
CCUGACGCAGCGACGCCGCGUGGGUGAUGAAGGCCUUCGGGUCGUAAAGCCCUGUCGAGGGGGACGAAACGGUUCCGACCUAAUACGUCGGGGCUCUGACGGUACCCCUAAAGGAAGCACCGGCUAACUCCGUGCCAGCAGCCGCGGUAAUACGGAGGGUGCGAGCGUUGUUCGGAAUCACUGGGCGUAAAGCGCGUGUAGGCGGUCUGUUAAGUCUGAUGUGAAAGCCCGGGGCUCACCCCCGGAAGUGCAUUGGAAACUGACAGACUGGAGUCCCGGAGAGGAGGGUGGAAUUCCUGGUGUAGCGGUGAAAUGCGUAGAUAUCAGGAGGAACACCGGUGGCGAAGGCGGCCCUCUGGACGGUGACUGACGCUGAGACGCGAAAGCGUGGGGAGCAAACAGGAUUAGAUACCCCGGUAGUCCACGCUGUAAACGAUGAGCACUAGGUGUCGCGGGUAUUGACCCCUGCGGUGCCGUAGCUAACGCAUUAAGUGCUCCGCCUGGGGACUACGGCCGCAAGGUUA